GCGGACGUGGUGGAACCGGUAGACACACAGGACUUAAAAUCCUGAGACGGUAACGUCGUGAGGGUUCGAGUCCCUCCGUCCGCACCA
rnacentral:tRNA from 5 species